ensembl:lncRNA
GAAAUUCCAAGGACAAAGUUAAUGGCAGGAGCUGAGUGCUGCUUGAGUAAAGAAGUAAGAGGACCACAUCUAUCACUCUUGAGUUUUUGCCUCCUUGAAACAUUCUUGCUUUCAAACCGGGACAAGAGCCAGGACAACUUCUAGCCUCUAGCCCCUGGUGGACUAGGGGUUAGGAUUCCUGGUUUUCAUCCAGGCUACUCAGGUCAAAUUGCUGGGCAGGGAACUAAGAUCCUGCUUCAAGACUGCUCCCUGCUGUCUCCCCAAGAACAUGAGAGCAUGGAUAUGCUGGAACAAAUCUCUCAAGAGUAAGGAAGGAAUGAAUUUAAGGAUAGAGAACAGUCAGCAAUUCGGCCUCUGUGUACAGAGACCAGGGCACUAAGUGAGAAUUUUGGGACAUGCAGCAUAUUCCAAGGAAGCAUGUAAUAAAUUU